rnacentral:tRNA from 2 species
CUAAGGAAAAGUAAGUAACGGAGGGCGUCUAAAAGCGACUUGAUUUUAGGAAAGCAAGGCAGUAUGCUUGCAUACCAGAUGGUUUAUCUAAAUCACAAGCUUUUAGCCCGAGUACAAUUUGACUCAGUAUCUGUACUUACACGGAAGCACUUGGACGUCUUGUUUAGUUUUGAGAGGGACGUGGGGCCUUAGCUCAGCUGGGAGAGCGCCUGCUUUGCACGCAGGAGGUCAGCGGUUCGAUCCCGCUAGGCUCCAUUAUCUAGGAUACAAAGAGAUGUUCGGAAGAGGACAAUUUUGUAUUCUAGUGACUAAGAUAGUGUUCACGUAAUUGAACACGACCUCAUUUCUUAGGAAAAAAGAUAAAUCUCCUCGUGUGCCAGCACACAGCGUCGAUUUCCUAUUUUUCUACAGAAAUGCCCAACAAGUUGGGACGGUCUUAGUAUCUUAGAGAUCGUUCAUUGACAAUUGAAUAGCGCAACAAAAGAAACCGAAACGCUGUAGAUCAUAUUGAAAGAGUUUUUUAAUAA